rnacentral:misc_RNA from 1 species
GAUGAAGAACGCAGCGAAAUGCGAUAAGUAAUGCGAAUUGCAGAUUUCAGUGAGUCAUCGAAUCUUUGAACGCACAUUGCGCCCGCCAGUAUUCUGGCGGGCAUGCCUGUUCGAGCGUCAUUUCAACCAUCAAGCCCCCGGGCUUGCGUUGGGGCCCUGCGGCUGCCGCAGGCCCCGAAAAGCAGUGGCGGGCUCGCUGUCACACCGAGCGCAGUAGCGAUUCUCGCUCCGGGCGUCGGCGGCGGGCACCGGCCGUGAAACCCCCCCUCAUCCACAAGGUUGACCUCGGAUCAGGUAGGAAUACCCGCUGAACUUAAGCAUAUCAAUAAGCGGAGGA